rnacentral:rRNA from 1 species
GAUGAACGCUGGCGGCGUGCCUAAUACAUGCAAGUCGAGCGAAUGGAUUAAGAGCUUGCUCUUAUGAAGUUAGCGGCGGACGGGUGAGUAACACGUGGGUAACCUGCCCGUAAGACUGGGAUAACUCCGGGAAACCGGGGCUAAUACCGGAUAACAUUUUGAACCGCAUGGUUCGAAAUUGAAAGGCGGCUUCGGCUGUCACUUAUGGAUGGACCCGCGUCGCGUUAGCUAGUUGGUGAGGUAACGGCUCACCAAGGCAACGAUGCGUAGCCGACCUGAGAGGGUGAUCGGCCACACUGGGACUGAGACACGGCCCAGACGCCUGCGGGAGGCAGCAGUAGGGAAUCUUCCGCAAUGGACGAAAGUCUGACGGAGCAACGCCGCGUGAGUGAUGAAGGCUUUCGGGUCGUAAAACUCUGUUGUUAGGGAAGAACAAGUGCUAGUUGAAUAAGCUGGCACCUUGACGGUACCUAACCAGAAAGCCACGGCUAACUACGUGCCAGCCGCCGCCGUAA